rnacentral:rRNA from 1 species
GAGAGGCUUAACCUUACAACACCAAAGGUGUUUUUAGAGACUUGAAGUAGAUUUUCAGCUGAAGUUCCGAGAUUGGUUCGUAGUGCAAGCCUGAUUUAAGGUGAGCGUUAUGAAUGAAACAGAAUUUGCCUGGCGGCAGUAGCGCGGUGGUCCCACCUGACCCCAUGCCGAACUCAGAAGUGAAACGCCGUAGCGCCGAUGGUAGUGUGGGGUCUCCCCAUGCGAGAGUAGGGAACUGCCAGGC